GUUUCUGAAUCCACCCAGAAAUGUUGGCUACUUCCUUGAGAGCAUUCCUCCAUCUGGACCAUCUCUGCACCUUCUGGUUUCUCCUUCUCUUCGCUGAAAUAUCCCUUGUGUUUGGCGAAUACUUCUCCAACGCUCCCUCUUUGUUUCUGUAAAUCCGAGGGAUCUACUUUAUAAAACUCCGACAAAGAAGUGCUCACCGUUUUGUCGGUAUUCUAUAGAGUAGAUCCCUCGGAUUUACGAAAACAACCACGGAAAACCUCUUGGAAGAAGCAGACUUCUUUGGAGAAAACAACCACGUCAAACCUUGACUCUUCGAUGGGAGAAAUCGAUUCACCUCUCUCGAGCUUCAGGUCAUCCUUGAACGUGAAAUACGAAGUGUUCUUGAGCUUCAGAGGCGAAGACCGGGUGUCUUCUCCAAAUAGAGAUGGUCAACGAAGCCUUCGCCUCUGAAGCUCAAGAAGACUUCGUAUUUCAAGGACUUAGAGUGAGAAGCAAAUCAGCAACAGGCUGUACGUCCAAAUCAAAUAAAAUCAAAUCGCCGGGGAUCUAUCUUGCUUUGCUUUGCAAGCAAGUUUCAUUCCUCUAACGCCUCUAAAACCCCAAUAUCUUCUUGAUCGAUCAUCCCAAUUUGUCCCAUCUGGCAUAAACAACGACCUUCGACUUCACUCGCUCUCUUCAAACCCUUCCAGAUAAAUAAUCAGAGCCCUAGGUCAUUUCCUCUUGUCCUCCGUUCGCAGUUCGCUUUUCUCCGAUUCCAGUGACAUGGGUUUGAAUAAUCAGAAAUUACAGGAACAGUUUGACGCUGAAGCUUUGAGUUCUUCUACUCAUUGUUCGAAAAGUGGGAAGCCUAUUUUUAAAGGGUGCUGUGAGGGUGUAUGUUAAAGCAUGGAGAGGGCACUUUGAGAAUUAUUUUUCAAGGCAUCGUGGCACUCAUAUCAUAUGCGGUAACCUUCCGGACAGUACAAUCAGGAACACGAGGUACACAGUCCAUCGCUAAUUUUGACAUUCAAAGCUGAUAAUUUAGCAUUUCUUGAACUUUUAUAAUUUCCUUUGUUCGAAAUUUAUUCCAGGUCCUUAGUGGUGUGUUACCAGUAGUGAAAUCUGCAUGACUGAUGGACUGAUGGAUUCUAUUGCUGCAAACAAACUAUUAAGAUGUAUGUUUAAAUGACUAACUUGCAAAAGAUGAUGCUGUUCUGUUUCUUAUUGGGGAUGAGUAGAGUGCAAAACAGAGGUUAUGAGUUUUAUGCCGUCUUUUCUUUUGAAUAAAAUUGGCUUGGCUAACUUCUCUAGAAUAUUUGUGGCAUCCUUUUUGUUUAUGUUGUUAUAACAACAAUAAUGAUAAUCAACCAUUAACAAUGAUGAUCAUAAAUUCAUAAUUAUAAGAAUGAUAAUAAUUGUACGUACCAUAGGUUACUGCAACUAUGAAAACUCAAAUUUCGAAGAAGAAAUGUAUAUAACCUGGCUAACCUCCAGUAACCCCACAUUGUUCAGAGCCAUGCUGUCUAUAAAACUUUCAAAUGUCUGCAUAAGAUGUUCUUCCUCUAUUUUAGGAAUUUCACAAGUAGGUGGAAAAUUAUCCAGCUUAAUUGUAUUUCGCUCUCCACAUAUUGCUAAACAGAGAGUAAUUAUCUCUUUUCGAACCUGCUCCCCAACAGUCAGAAGCUUUAUUUCCAUCUAUGGAUAAUAAUCAGUUUCUUUUUGAGAUAUGAAACUUCUUUUCUUUUGUUGUUUUCCACGCUCUACAGAAGUUGAUGCUGUGUUGUUGAA